AGAGUUUGAUCCUGGCUCAGAUUGAACGCUGGCGGCAUGCCUUACACAUGCAAGUCGAACGCGAAAGGGGGCAACCCCGAGUAGAGUGGCGAACGGGUGAGCAAUACAUCGGAACACGUCCUGUAGCGGGGGACAACCUCGAGAAAUCGAGGCUAAUACCGCAUACGAUCUACGGAUGAAAGUGGGGGACCGCAAGGCCCCACACUAUAGGAGUGGCCGAUGCCGGAUUAGCUAGUUGGUGGGGUAACGGCCCACCAAGGCGACGAUCCGUAGCUGGUUUGAGAGAACGACCAGCCACACUGGGACUGAGACACGGCCCAGACUCCUACGGGAGGCAGCAGUGGGGAAUUUUGGACAAUGGGCGAAAGCCUGAUCCAGCCAUGCCGCGUGAGUGAAGAAGGCCUUCGGGUUGUAAAGCUCUUUCGGCGGGGACGAAAUGGCGCGGGGUAACAUCCCGCGUCGAUGACGGUACCCGAAGAAGAAGGACCGGCUAACUACGU
rnacentral:rRNA from 1 species